rnacentral:rRNA from 1 species
UACGUAGGGGGCUAGCGUUGUCCGGAUUUAUUGGGCGUAAAGAGCGUGUAGGCGGCCAUGUAGGUCCGGUGUGAAAACUCGAGGCUUAACCUCGAGAUGUCAUCGGAAACCAUUUGGCUAGAGUCCGGAAGAGGAGAGUGGAAUUCCUGGUGUAGCGGUGAAAUGCGCAGAUAUCAGGAAGAACACCAAUGGCGAAAGCAGCUCUCUGGGACGUGACUGACGCUGAGACGCGAAAGCGUGGGGAGCAAACAGG